rnacentral:rRNA from 1 species
UACGAAGGGGGCUAGCGUUGUUCGGAAUUACUGGGCGUAAAGCGCACGUAGGCGGAUCUUUAAGUCAGAGGUGAAAGCCUGGAGCUCAACUCCAGAACUGCCUUUGAUACUGGGGAUCUCGAGUUUGGAAGAGGUUGGUGGAACUCCUAGUGUAGAGGUGAAAUUCGUAGAUAUUAGGAAGAACACCAGUGGCGAAGGCGGCCAACUGGUCCAAUACUGACGCUGAGGUGCGAAAGCGUGGGGAGCAAACAGG